GGCCUCGUUGCUCAGUUGGCAAGAGCUUUGCCUAUACUAAAGCCUUCCAAUUACUGUUGUAGGUUCGAAUCCCACUGAGGCUG
rnacentral:tRNA from 1 species